UUCCCAAAAACUAUAUUUGGGAAAGGUCUUUAAUUGCCUUUUCCCAGUUAAAAGUAGUUUGGGAGAAAAAUAGACCACACUCCACAAUGAACUACAUCGUUGUAGUCCAUUACUACUUUGUGGCCAACAUU